UACAGAGGGGGCAAGCGUUGUUCGGAAUUACUGGGCGUAAAGGGCGCGUAGGCGGCCUGUUAAGUCGGACGUGAAAUCCCUCGGCUCAACCGGGGAACUGCGUCCGAUACUGGCAGGCUUGAAUUCGGGAGAGGGAUGUGGAAUUCCAGGUGUAGCGGUGAAAUGCGUAGAUAUCUGGAGGAACACCGGUGGCGAAGGCGGCAUCCUGGACCGAUAUUGACGCUGAUGCGCGAAAGCCAGGGGAGCAAACGGG
rnacentral:rRNA from 1 species